CCUACGGGUGGCAGCAGUGAGGAAUAUUGGUCAAUGGGCGAAAGCCUGAACCAGCCAAGUCGCGUGAGGGAUGAAGGUUCUAUGGAUCGUAAACCUCUUUUAUAAGGGAAUAAAGUGUGGGACGUGUCCUAUUUUGUAUGUACCUUAUGAAUAAGAAUCGGCUAACUCCGUGCCAGCAGCCGCGGUAAUACGGAGGAUCCGAGCGUUAUCCGGAUUUAUUGGGUUUAAAGGGUGCGGAGGCGGCCUUUUAAGUCAGCGGUGAAAGUGGGUGGGUCAACCAUCGAAUUGCCGUUGAAACUGGGGGGCUUGAGUGUGUUAGAGGCAUGCGGAAUGCGUGGUGUAGCGGUGAAAUGCUUAGAUAUCACGCAGAACCCCGAUUGCGAAGGCAGCCUGCCAAGCCAUGACUGACGCUGAUGCACGAAAGCGUGGGGAUCAAACAGGAUUAGAUACCCCAGUAGUC
rnacentral:rRNA from 1 species